AUGAACGCUGGCGGCGUGCCUAAUACAUGCAAGUCGAGCGAACAGACGAGGAGCUUGCUCCUCUGACGUUAGCGGCGGACGGGUGAGUAACACGUGGAUAACCUACCUAUAAGACUGGGAUAACUUCGGGAAACCGGAGCUAAUACCGGAUAAUAUAUUGAACCGCAUGGUUCAAUAGUGAAAGACGGUUUUGCUGUCACUUAUACAUGGAUCCGCGCCGCAUUAGCUAGUUGGUAAGGUAACGGCUUACCAAGGCGACGAUGCGUAGCCGACCUGAGAGGGUGAUCGGCCACACUGGAACUGAGACACGGUCCAGACUCCUACGGGAGGCAGCAGUAGGGAAUCUUCCGCAAUGGGCGAAAGCCUGACGGAGCAACGCCGCGUGAGUGAUGAAGGUCUUCGGAUCGUAAAACUCUGUUAUUAGGGAAGAACAAAUGUGUAAGUAACUAUGCACGUCUUGACGGUACCUAAUCAGAAAGCCACGGCUAACUACGUG
rnacentral:rRNA from 1 species